GCGUUCUCCGGAAUUAUUGGGCGUAAAGAGCUCGUAGGCGGUUUGUCGCGUCUGCCGUGAAAGUCCGGGGCUCAACUCCGGAUCUGCGGUGGGUACGGGCAGACUAGAGUGCAGUAGGGGAGACUGGAAUUCCUGGUGUAGCGGUGAAAUGCGCAGAUAUCAGGAGGAACACCGAUGGCGAAGGCAGGUCUCUGGGCUGUAACUGACGCUGAGGCGCGAAAGCUAG
rnacentral:rRNA from 1 species